rnacentral:rRNA from 1 species
CCUCGGGGGGCUGCAGUGGGGAAUAUUGGACAAUGGGCGCAAGCCUGAUCCAGCAAUACCGCGUGUGCGAAGAAGGCCUUAGGGUUGUAAAGCACUUUCAAUGGGGAGGAAAACCUACCGGUCAAUACCCGGUAGCUUGACAUUACCUGUAGAAGAAGCACCGGCUAACUCCGUGCCAGCAGCCGCGGUAAUACGGAGGGUGCAAGCGUUAAUCGGAAUUACUGGGAGUAGAGCCGUUAAAGCAGAUUUGAAAGCCCCGGGCGUAACCUGGGAACUGCAUUUGAAACUGGCGGACUAGAGUUGAGUAGAGGGGAGUGGAAUUUCAGGUGUAGCGGUGAAAUGCGUAGAUAUCUGAAGGAACACCAGUGGCGAAGGCGACUCCCUGGACUCAAACUGACGCUGAGGUACGAAAGCGUGGGUAGCAAACAGGAUUAGAUACCCGUGUAGUC